UAGGCGAUUGAUUACAAGUUUCCAUUCUGUAUAUUCUGUGGCAUGAUCGCAUGUGGGUGGAAGCCGGAAAAGUGAUAUCAACUCAACUUGUGCGUUUCUCCUAAAAGAGAAUACAAAUAAGUAGCCAGUAACUGUUGAUUGGGCAUUCGGCUUUGGCCUACUGAUGAUGACAGCAAGAACACGAGAUAGUGGACCAUUAGACAGCUGGGAGAUUUUGCCUUCGCCUACAAUCAAGUGAAUGAAGUGACUUGAAGUUGGUGACACAGUCUAGUUUCAUCAUGAAUAACUCGACAAGUGUGAUGGAUUGGACCUACGAGUCAGUGAUGAGCUCAUUGAUGAGGGAUCUAUCAUCAUCACCACCAACAUUGCCUGAAUCUGUGUCAAGUGAAACUCAGCGUUUCACUUGUUUGGUUAUUGAGAAAGAAAAUUCUCCCAUAGCAAGCCAAGAACUCAAGAGGCUAUCCCAAUCGAUGAGGGACACUUACAUGGAUGCAUCAUGCAAAGUAGCUCUAGUGAUUCAGCUCAGACUAACUGUAAUUCUUCGUUAUUGAAUGAUCAGCAUUUGCCUACCCCAUUGACUAUUCAUCCAAACGACGCUGGGGCUGUGGAUGGUGGAGAAAUUGCUGAUGUCAAGUGUUUCAAAAGUGAAUGUUAUUACUGUCAGAUCACCUCACCUGAAAGUAUCAGGGCGACUAGGCUAGAUUUCAUUCAAAAUUCAACAAAGUCGAAAACAACUACCUUUAUUGGAUCUGAAUCAGAUAAAGCCCUAUUCUCAAAUGAAUUGAUCAAGUUAGUACAAGCUCUCAAAGAUACCAAAAUCACAUCACUCAAUCUGAGUGGCAAUGAUAUAGAUUGUGAUUUGAUAAUUGAUCUAGCACAAUACUUGUCCAGCACACAAAUCAAAACACUUGAUUUGAGUGAAAAUAGAAUUGGGCACAAAGGUUUCGAGUAUUUUAAUGAAAUUCUAAAAGAAACUAAAAUAUCCUCACUGAAUGUGAGUAAAAACUCUGUAGGGCAAUUCUUUGCAUGCAAAAACAAUUCAUCUUCAGUUGAACAUAGUAGUGAGUGUUCCCAUGCUAAGAUUUUUGAAAACUCUGCUUCAACAUAUCUUGAUCUAAGUCACUC